GAUGAACGCUGGCGGCGUGCCUAAUACAUGCAAGUCGAGCGAACAGACGAGGAGCUUGCUCCUCUGACGUUAGCGGCGGACGGGUGAGUAACACGUGGAUAACCUACCUAUAAGACUGGGAUAACUUCGGGAAACCGGAGCUAAUACCGGAUAAUAUAUUGAACCGCAUGGUGCAAUAGUGAAAGACGGUUUUGCUGUCACUUAUAGAUGGAUCCGCGCCGCAUUAGUCAGUUGGUAAGGUAACGGCUUACCAAGGCAACGAUGCGUAGCCGACCUGAGAGGGUGUUCGGCCACACUGGAACUGAAACCCCGUCCAGACUCCUACGGCAGGCAGCAGUAGGGAAUCUUACGCACUGGGCGAAAGCCUGACGGAGCAACGCCGCGUGAGUUAUGACGGCCUUCGGAUCGUAAAACUCUGUUAUUAGGGAAGAACAAAUUUGUACGUAACUAUGCACGUCUUGACGGUACCUAAUCAGAAAGCCACGGCUAACUACGUG
rnacentral:rRNA from 1 species